GCACGUUCAAGUUGUUUGCACUCUCCGAUUAAGUCGGGUUCUCCGGGCUGUGCGAGGCCAAGGUGGGGCUCAGAGCCCACUGGACGACAGAGAGCAGAACUGGAAGAACACAUGCGGUGACAGAUGUUGGCAGAUAUAACCAAGAGGUCCAGAGUGGAUGCCAAGGCGGAUUCCGUGUCGUGGCCACUGCGCACAGUGCUGCAGAGGAUGCAACAGGGCGGCACCCAGUCUCCCAUUGACCCUGUUCCUUGGAGGGGUACCAGCGUGGGACUGCUGGAUCCCGGGAUGGCAGUUCCAGUUCUAGCAGCCAUCUGACAGAAAAUAAGGAGAAAAGGUGAAUAUACAGAAGAAAGAACAGUGGAACAGGAGCCCGGGGUCACCGACACGGGACAGCGGUGUUGCAGUCUCCAGCAGGAGGAAGAGCUUCUCAUGUCCACGUGGCACCUGCCAUGGGCACGCCUCUACCAAACAGACCUUCAACUGGAAAAGCCAAGCGUGCGUGCGCAUGGGUGCUAUGAAAAUCAGUUAGUUUAAAAUAGACUUAGAAGUUGAGUAUUUAAAUGAAUGCACUUGUGAAAAUGUUUGCGGAAUGGGUAACGACCUCAAAUUUAUCCUUAAAGCAUCACCACAUUUGCUUAGAGUAGGACAUGCCCAAAGUGAGGAUUCAUGCCAUGUAAAGACACUGAGAGUGCCCUGAAGACCAGUGGUCAAAAUCUACUGUCACUAGGGAUCACUUUGCCCACACUAAAUGUGUCCAAACAGGAACAAUCAUUCACUGCAGGCAGUUUUUCUUGUCCCUUUGUUU